AGUUACCCAGUUGCCCAUAGCAACCAAUCAGAUCGCUUCUUUCAUUUUGCAGAGGCCUUGUUAAAAAUGAAAGAAGCAAUCUGAUUGGUUGCUAUGGGCAACUAGGCAACUUUUCUUUUGGACAGGUUUUGAUAAAUCUCCCCCAAUGUUUUUGUACCCAGGAGCCCGCGGAGUGCUAUAUGGCCUAAUUAAUUCUCCGUUACACCAGAAGUGGUGUCCUCUCCCUGAGGAAAGUACUGAGCCCACUUAAUGUUUUCUUUAGGAGAAUCCUUGAGGACAUCCAAGCUUUAAAAAGUCGGUAAAAAAGAAGGGAUUGGAAAAGGAGAAUUGUUGUUGCAGCAAGAAGCAAAAUGGAUUAUCCGUACAAGAGCAGAAGGGAACUUAGGUUUCAAUAACAGGAUUUUUCGACCAACUUUGGCUGCUGCAAACAGGCAGAUGCUGGCUUGGAAGCCUAGGAACUAACGAGUUUAAGAGAGUGCUCCUAAUCUCAACUUGUUACCUGUAUAAAAGGAACUUGAGAACCAGAAAUCUUGCUGAUUGAUAUGGGUUCAAAUACUUAUUUCUGAGUAAAAUGCAAACCAUUCAAUUUGAAAUGUGUUUUUCUGGAUUUUUUUGUUGUUAUCCUGUUUCUCAGUGUUCAA